GGCAGCGUGGCUUAGUGGAAAGAGCCCGGGCUUGGGAGUCAGAGGUCAUGGGUUCUAAUCCCGGCUCUGCCA
rnacentral:tRNA from 1 species